rnacentral:rRNA from 1 species
AAUAAGGAGCUGUGGAUUUUUAAGAAGAGAGAAUGCCGGAAUGAGUAGCGAGAUGGAGGUGGGAAUCCUCCAGGCCGAAUAUCUAAGGUUUCCAGAGUAAAGCUGAUCUGCUCUGGGUAAGUCGGGGCCUAAGGCGAGGUCGAAAGACGUAGUCGAUGGAUAACAGGUUGAAAUUCCUGUACUGCAUAUCAUCAGAACUGUGGGGACACAGAGAGAUACCGGAACCUGGGAAUGAAGAUACCAGGGCAAGCGAGGUAGGUGCUAAGCUGGCAAAUCCGCUUAGCAAGCCGAAGACGUGAUGCGGAGCGAAUUAAAGUAGUGAAGUCCGGGAUUCGAGCUGUCGAGAAAAGCCGCUAUUGUGUGAUAUGUACCCGUACCGUAAACCGACACAGGUGGAUGAGGAGAGAAUCCUAAGGCCGGCGGGAGAAGCAUUGUUAAGGAACUCGGCAAAAUGACCCUGUAACUUCGGGAUAAAGGGUGCCACAGAGAUGUGGCCGCAGAGAAUAGGCUCAAGCAACUGUUUAGCAAAAACACAGGUCUAUGCGAAACCGAAAGGUGAGGUAUAUGGGCUGACGCCUGCCCGGUGCUGGAAGGUUACGAGGAGAGGUUAGAGCAAUCGAAGCUUUGAAUCUAAGCCCCAGUAAACGGCGGCCGUAACGAUAACGGUCCUAAGGUAGCGAAAUUCCUUGUCGGGUAAGUUCCGACCCGCACGAAAGGCGUAAUGAUUUGAGCGCUGUCUCGACAAUGCACCCGGUGAAAUUGAAAUACCAGUGAAGAUGCUGGUUACCUGCGCCAGGACGGAAAGACCCCAUGGAGCUUUACUCUAGCUUGAUACUGGGAUUCGGUACUGCAUGUACAGGAUAGGUGGGAGACGAAGAGGACAGGACGCCAGUCUUGUCGGAGUCGCUGUUGGGAUACCACCCUUGUGGUACUGGAUUUCUAACCAACCUCCGUGACCCGGAGGUGGGUCAAUGUCAGGUGGGGAGUUUGACUGGGGCGGUCGCCUCCGAAAGGGUAUCGGAGGCGCUCAAAGGUUCCCUCAGAAUGGUUGGAAACCAUUCAAAGAGUGCAAAGGCAGAAGGGAGCUUGACUGCGAGACCGACGGGUCGAGCAGGUACGAAAGUAGGACUUAGUGAUCCGGUGGUAGAAAGUGGGAUUGCCAUCGCUCAACGGAUAAAAGCUACCCUGGGGAUAACAGGCUUAUCACUCCCAAGAGUUCACAUCGACGGAGUGGUUUGGCACCUCGAUGUCGGCUCAUCGCAUCCUGGGGCUGAAGUAGGUCCCAAGGGUUGGGCUGUUCGCCCAUUAAAGCGGUACGCGAGCUGGGUUCAGAACCUCGUGAGACAGUUCGGUCCCUAUCCGGCGCGGGCGUAGGAUAUUUGAGAGGAGCUGCCCUUAGUACGAGAGGACCGGGGUGGACUGGCCUCUGGUGUAUCUGUUGAGCUAUCAAGCUCAUGGCAGAGUAGCCAAGCCGGGACGGGAUAAACGCUGAAGGCAUCUAAGCGUGAAGCCCCCCUCAAGAUGAGAUAUCCCAUACGCAAGUAGUAAGACCCCUUGAAGACGACGAGGUAGAUAGGGCAGAGGUGGAAGCGUAGUAAUACGUGAAGCUGACUGUUACUAAUCGGUCGAGGGCUUAACC